rnacentral:rRNA from 1 species
UAAUACGAAGGGGGCUAGCGUUGCUCGGAAUGACUGGGCGUAAAGGGCGCGUAGGCGGUUUGUACAGUCAGAUGUGAAAUUCCCGGGCUCAACCUGGGGGCUGCAUUUGAUACGUGCAGACUAGAGUGAGGAAGAGGGUUGUGGAAUUCCCAGUGUAGAGGUGAAAUUCGUAGAUAUUGGGAAGAACACCGGUGGCGAAGGCGGCAACCUGGUCCUUGACUGACGCUGAGGCGCGAAAGCGUGGGGAGCAAACAGG